UUAAUUAAGUUCUGAGUUUGCACAUAAUCAGUUAUUUGUCCUGGGUAUAUUGCUUACUGAACAACAAUAUUGCUUAACCAAUAACUCUUUAUCAUUAGUAUUUAUUUCUUUAACAAGAGAUUUGAACUAGAAGACCUCUAAGUUCAACAAAUAUAUGGCCUGACUUUUUUUGAGCAAUACUGAUUUUAAAUUUCUUGUGACUGUAAUGUUUGUAAAUAAAAAAUAUCUAAUAUUCCAAUGUUGGGAUACUUUUCACCCCUGGUAGUGUUAUAGAAGUCAUUUAUUAAGUUAAGUGAUGGGUCUUGAUUUGGAAAAAUGUAGUCCUACCAUAUCUUUAUUCUUUUCCCAUACUAAAAUUAUGUG
rnacentral:lncRNA from 1 species